rnacentral:tRNA from 1 species
CAAACUAUAGCUUAAACUAAAGCAUCUUGCUUACACCAAGAAGAUGUUCCCUAAAAAGAACUAUUUUGAUUAUAG